CAGUGCAGCCAGCAUCCAGACACUCAGGAGCAAGGUAUUUUCUACCAAUGGAGUUCAUUUUGAAUACCAUAAUAAAGAAGAUUAUUUUACAUAUCUAAGGUAUUUUCUACCAAUGGAGUUCAUUUUGAAUACCAUAAUAAAGAAGAUUAUUUUACAUAUCUAAGGUAU